rnacentral:rRNA from 1 species
CCUACGGGGGGCAGCAGUAAGGAAUAUUGGACAAUGGUCGAAAGACUGAUCCAGCCAUGCCGCGUGAAGGAUGAAGGCCCUAUGGGUUGUAAACUUCUUUUGUACGGGAAAAAACCCUCGCUCGUGAGCGAGGCGGAUUGUACUGUAAGAAUAAGGAUCGGCUAACUCCGUGCCAGCAGCCGCGGUAAUACGGAGGAUCCAAGCGUUAUCCGGAUUCAAGGGGGUGUAGGGGUGAGUGGACGUAAGUGGUGAAAUCUCUCGGCUUAACCGAGAAACUGCCAUUGAUACUGCAAAUCUUGAGUACAUUUGAGGUGGGCGGAAUGUGUCAUGUAGCGGUGAAAUGCUUAGAUAUGACACAGAACACCGAUUGCGAAGGCAGCUCACAAAACUGUAACUGACGCUGAGGCACGAAAGCGUGGGUAUCAAACAGGAUUAGAUACCCGAGUAGUC